ACCCUUAGAUGUUCUGGGCCGCACGCGUGCUACACUGACCGGCGCAACAAGCUUCUUUCCUUGACCGAUAGGUCUGGGUAAUCUUCGAACGCCGGUCGUGAUGGGGAUAGAUCCUUGCAAUUUUUGAUCUUCAACGAGGAAUUCCUAGUAAACGCGAGUCAUCAUCUCGCAUUGAUUACGUCCCUGCCCUUUGUACACACCGCCCGUCGCACCUACCGAUUGAAUGGUCCGGUGAAACCUCCGGAUUGAGCGCAGCUCCGGCUCGCUCGAGAAGUUGGUUAAACCUUACCAUUUAGAGGAAGGUGAAGUCGUAACA
rnacentral:rRNA from 1 species